GCACAAGCGGUGGAGCAUGUGGUUUAAUCGAAGCAACGCGAAGAACCUUUACCAGGUCUUGACAUCCCGAUGCUAUUUCUAGAGAUAGAAAGUUACUUCGGUACAUCGGUGACAGGUGGUGCAUGGUUGUCGUCAGCUCGUGUCGUGAGAUGUUGGGUUAAGUCCCGCAACGAGCGCAACCCCUAUUGUUAGUUGCCAUCAUUCAGUUGGGCACUCUAGCGAGACUGCCGGUAAUAAACCGGAGGAAGUGGGGAUGACGUCAAAUCAUCAUGCCCCUUAUGACCUGGGCUACACACGUGCUACAAUGGUUGGUACAACGAGUUGCGAGUCGGUGACGGCGAGCUAAUCUCUUAAAGCCAAUCUCAGUUCGGAUUGUAGGCUGCAACUCGCCUACAUGAAGUCGGAAUCGCUAGUAAUCGCGGAUCAGCACGCCGCGGUGAAUACGUUCCCGGGCCUU
rnacentral:rRNA from 1 species